rnacentral:rRNA from 1 species
GAUUUCUGGCUUGAAACAUUUUGCCGGCCACGGUUUCGUGUGUUAGUGCUUGAUGUUCUGGCCAUCCUUCCAAUUGCUAUACACCUUUCUUCAUUGAUUGGUGUGUGGUAUUGGAUCUUUUACUUUGAAAAAAUUAGAGUGUUUCAAGCAGGCUUUAUGCUAUGAAUACAUUAGCAUGGAAUAAUAAUUUAGGACUUCGGUUCUAUUUCGUUGGUUUCUAGGACUGAAGUAAUGAUUGAUAGGGAUAGUUGGGGGUGCUAGUAUUUGGCGGCCAGAGGUGAAAUUCUCGGAUUUGCUGAAGACUAACUUAUGCGAAAGCAUU